rnacentral:rRNA from 1 species
GAUGAACGCUGGCGGCAUGCCUUACACAUGCAAGUCGAACGGCAGCACGGGAGCAAUCCUGGUGGCGAGUGGCGAACGGGUGAGUAACAUAUCGGAACGUGCCCAAUCGUGGGGAUAACGUAGAGAAAUUUACGCUAAUACCGCAUACGAUCUAAGGAUGAAAGCGGGGGACUCGCAAGAGCCUCGCGCGAUUGGAGCGGCCGAUAUCAGAUUAGGUAGUUGGUGGGGUAAAGGCUCACCAAGCCAACGAUCUGUAGCUGGUCUGAGAGGACGACCAGCCACACUGGAACUGAGACACGGUCCAGACUCCUACGGGAGGCAGCAGUGGGGAAUUUUGGACAAUGGGCGCAAGCCUGAUCCAGCAAUGCCGCGUGCAGGAUGAAGGCCUCGGUUGUAAC